GCGCGGUGAAUCUCGCCGCCGAGGCCCACAAGGCGAGGCGCUCUAAUCCUCUCCUUCUCCUCUAGUCUUAUCCAUUCCUCUCCUCCUUCUUCUUUCCCCUCUCAGAUCCAGCAGGGACUAGAACCUUACUGGAAGCCACGAAAGCCGCCACCGGCUGAACCUUGUCCACGAACAACUCUUUUCCUACCGAUCUGCCAAACGAUUCUUCUUCCAUCGGUCAACAUCGUCUACCUCACCAGAUACUGUCAGCUUAAUGGACGAUGAUGAUUUCAUAGUCAAGGGCCUUCCACAGCUCUGCCAUCCGUGUUACCAUUAGCAGAAGAUAUAUGCUUGAACAAGCUAUCAAGCAGAUCCGUGGUACAAUUCAUGCAUUCAGUCUUACAUACGAUGAUGACGGCACAGUAGUAGCAUCAGUGAAAAUCGAUCUUCACCCCACAGCAAAAGCAUUUUCCCAACCCAACAGUUGUUCUUUGGGGAGCCAACUCAGAUUUCUGACGAUUCUAUUGAAUCAGCAUGUUCUGCUGCUUUGACCUAUCUGUUGACCAUGGGGAUAAUUAUAAUAGAUGAUUACAACUCAGUGGAUCUCAAGAACUGCCAGACACAACUUAAAGCAGAGCAGUUUUGGUCGUCAAUGCUAUAUGAUCGUGCAGAAUCCUUUCAGAAUCAACUCGGCUCCUUGACCACAGCAAAAAAAGAACUUAUUCGGAGAGUGGCAAUAAUAGUACCCCUGCGCCUAAACAUGCCGAUGAAUCAGACAAUGGCCUCAACGACGCUUCUGGUUCACUACCAGCAAACAAAGAAGCAUCAAACAGCGGAACAGAUUACAACUCCACGAAAAAAGCAAAGUCUCACCCUAUUGCCCGCAGGACUUUACUCUUUAAAGAAUAAAUGACAAGAUCAUAUGGUACAUGGACAAGGUUGGCACCACUCAAAGGCAGGAAUAUGUGGCCGUCUUGAAGGAGUUUUACUCUCUGUCUAUGCAUCCAAUGUUAAUCAUGUCUUUCCAUGCUACCAAUCGCAAGCCUCCUUUAUUUUGUUUGUUUAGAAGAUGUUUCAUUAAGUAAGGAUUUGGUCACAGUGGAUCCGUACUAUUAUGGGCUAUUCACGCACUUUAUAAUUUAAAUUUCGAGAUCAAUGAAGUAAACACUCAGUUUGAGUGAUGGUGUUACAUAUUCUUCGUUGAUACUAUACCAUCUAUUACUAGCUCUUCUCUAAUAAUACUACCACCUAUACAUUUUUUUUGGCCCGCACAUUUUUUAAUUUCAUAUUUAAAGUGCUCCACUGGUUAUAUAAAUAUAUUGACUAUAGGUACACCCGACGCUCACUGACUGCUCAAAUUAUCCUUAAAUAACUUUCUCCUCAUUUAAUUUUUCUAUCUUGUGUCAUCAGCCAUAUUCCAUGGACAUCUGCCUUGUAUUUCCACAGCCCUUCUAUUGUACUCAGGAUUUAUCUGCAUCGGCCACAGAAAAUACACAUUCUCCUAAUCCACAGGAAUUGCUAAGAGCAUCUUCCUUUCGACAGUGAUGCCUCCAGUCUAUAAAAUCAAAAUCAAAUAGCAAUGUCCAUGUAUAUUCCUGUAAAAUAUUCUAGCUUUUAGAACUUCGACUACCUGCUAAAAGAAAAAUGUGUUUUCCCUAGAAGCCCACCCCUUCUCUCCUAUGGGCCAGCGGCCUUCUCAAGCCCGAGUAGGGUAAAUCUAUGCUACGGCCCCCUCUCUUAUCUUAUCGCCACACCGAACUCUACCUUAUCUUCUUUGGAUUCAUCUUCUCACCCUCACCAGCCCUGUUCCCCCUCCCCUCUCCCCCAUCCGCCCCGGUCUACUUAGAGCUCCUUUGUGUUGGAUGCUUCUCCGAACACACCAGAUUCCCUGGUAACCACAUCCUCCGAUGAGUCUCCACAGCGCUCUGCUAUUUCUCAGGUGUUCGAUCUCUUUGAAUCUUAGACAAAGCUGGCCAUGAGAUUCUAGAAGCACAGCCCAACACUGCAAGUCUUAUCUUUUCAAGCCAUCCUCAUGGAGUUGGUUGAGCUACGCACAACAUCUUUGGCUGAGGCAAUGUUUGACAAGCUCGGGCUCCCAAAACCAGUCUACUAUGUGUGUUUGCUUGAGCAAGGUGGAUAUAGAUCACAGAUUGAAUUUCACCGCACAAAGGAGCGCUAUGAUGCUUCAGCGCCCCGCACUAAAUUGUUCAGCCAUAUAUGUGUAAGCGGAGAAGCAGCAAUGGACCAUGCGGCUGACCUAGCCAUUGGAUACAUGGAAAGCUAUGGAAGGAAGGUUCUUGUUGAUUAUAACUACCAUCGGCUGCAGCAAGAAAAACAAGCUUACGCAAGACUUUCAGACAGGUUGUCAGAAACAACAGAAGAAAUCAAUCAGCGCAAUCAAACCAUCAAACAGGUGACUAGAGAAGCAACCAAUUAUCUGGAAGAAGUGCAUGCUGCAUCAGACAAAAUCCACAGCCUUGCUGAUGCUGCCUUAGACCCUGCUGCCGGCCUCUCUCUUUCCACACUAAAACAAGCUAUUCUACAAAUUCAAAAUGCAAUUGUUGCUCUCCAGAGCACUACGGCCGCUGCACGUAUUUCACUAGAGGAAAAGGGCAUAUACUCAGUGGAUAAUGUGCCUGAACCAGUCUAUGAUGGUCUUUUUGAUGAAGAAACCAAUGAAGAUUAUCAUCAGGACAUGGAUGAUGACUGUGCUCACUACGUGCGAUCCCCAUAAGCAAUGUGUAAAGCCCACUAGGCUAAUCAGCAAGUGAAGCUUUCUACAUAUAGCUUCACAAUCAAACCUUGCUUCAUUCUGCGAAAAGCCAAUCUACUAUCAUACUUAUCCUGCUAGGGUGGCUAAAUAAAAUGUGAAGCUCAGUGUUUAUAGCUUCACCUAAGCAACUAUCUCACUCUCAACUACUCUCUCAUUGUGUACAAAUAUGAACUAUAUUGUACUAUGUAAGACCAAUGUAAUAUAUCUAUGUUGUACCUUCGUAUUCCCUUUCUAAGAUUCUCCGUUACACUAUGUUGACCAUUUACCUUUCUUUACAUACCCUGUUUUUCAAGUAC